ACUUGCCUUCGUCACUCGCAAAGGACCCUGGUGCGAUAGGGUUUCUCGACAAAAAGUCAACAUGUGCCAUUCUUUUCCCUUCUCUAUAUUGAAUAUCAAAUGUAAAUGACUGCAAAAAGGCCCACCAUUGCUGUGUUCUAGGAGUCAAAUCUUGCUUAUUUCUUGACGCCUUCAAUGAGUUACAGUCGGUAAAAACUGUAAAGUUCCUGUCCAACAAAUAAUGUCGAAAAUGUUUAAUGGAGUUUACGACCGCUAAGGUUUCUAACUCAUACGAGUGAUAUCUUGACUCUGCAGCCACUGCAAUUUGCAUCUGUAUGCAGUUCAAUUGGAUAAUUUGGGUCAAAAAUAACAAGAGCUGGCUCAUCAGUAAGUAUAGAAAUAACCUUCUUCCGUAUCUGCUCAUGUUCUGCUUUCCAAUUAAAUUUAUUUUUCUCAGAAGUUAAGAAAUAUAACGGUUUCAUUAACUGCGAAAACCCCUAAUAAACUGCCGGAAAUACGAUGCUAAUUCAAUAAAUCGUCUAAGUGAUGUUACAGAUUGUGGAGGAACAAGGGCUGUUAACGCUACAAUUUUCUGAGGGUUUGGACUGCACUGGACCAGCACUGACACUUAAGCCUAAAUAUUGCACCGAUGUUUUCAGGAAGGAACACUUUGUAAUAUUAAACGAAAAUCCAGCCUCUGUCAGAACAUUUAAAACAAUCUCCAAUCUUUCAAAAGCUUCCUCUAAUGUUGUGGUAGUUAUCAUAAUAUCAUCCAUAUACACGAUAACAUAAGAACAAUUUAACAAUUUAACAUAACAAUUUUCCCUCGAACUAAAUCGCUCGCAUGGACUUAAUCGGUAUGGCCUUCUCUGAACAGUUUUACUAGGAUCGAUCAAUCUAAUUUUCAUUUCACCUACUUUAACUUUAGUGCAUGGUAUUCCUUUGAGAAAACAAUUUGAGUACUUUGCCAACAAUGAAUUUAGUUUUAUUUUAUUUUCUCUGUCAAGUUCUGUAUCAAUAUAAGCUGGCUCACAAAUUAAUUAUUUUGGCUCUUGAAAUCGUAAAUUUGUCUAAUGAAAUGACAAUAUCAAAACCCUGUUUUAGUAUUUCACGUCCAAUAACGAUAUCGUUUUG